UUUUUCAGCACUUCAUAAGAAAAAGAUGAGGUGUAGUCACAUCAGUUCUGACAUCAGGGAGGAGCUUCAUGAACUCUAAUCAUGUUAACUGGUUAGAGCACAGAAUAUCUUCAUUCAGCUAAAACCAUUCAUCAUGUUCACUGUUAUAUUCAUGUACCUGUGGCUUUCUGUAGGUGACUCCAUGGCAGAUUCAAUAGAGCCACUUUUAACUGACAAACAUGUAGAUGAAGGUGAAAAUGUUACUCUGUCCUGCAACUACAAAACAAGUGCAACAAACAACUACCU